GUAUGUCUUUACUCUUCAUCCUGGGAAACCAUAAAUAAUAACGAGGAAUAAAAUGGCCUGCCAGUGAUAUAAAAUUAUUUUCCGUUUUGUAUUGGAUUUCUCUCCAAAUGAACGCGCUAUGCCGAUCUUAGUAGCAAAAAGCAUGUGAGUGAUUAAAUAUAAUAAAUCCUAUUUUGAGAGGUAAUACUGGUAUUAAAUAGAAAGUGUUAUGGGGAAAACUGACAAAACCUCAGGAAACAAGAUACUAAUUUUCUUAAACAAAAAUAGAGAAUAUGACAUCUCUGACAACAGACAAAAGCUUAGAGGAACUCCGUAGCUUGCCCUUCGCUAACUUCCUGCUCAGGUCUCAAAGUAGUUUUUGCUCAUUCGUGCCAUUACAGAGAGAACCAGG